rnacentral:tRNA from 1 species
GCGCGUAUGGCGGAAUUUUGGUAGACGCGCCAGCUUGAGGGGCUGGUGUUCGCUUAGAAUGUGCAAGUUCGAAUCUUGUUACGCGCA